ACCUGGCCUCUUGGUGAAAUUAUAUUUUGAUGGAUCACUUGACUAUUCGAGCUGACCCAUGUCAGUUAGGUAAAUCAGUGUGACUGAUUUAGAUGCUCCUAGACUAGCCCUUUUAAUGGUCUCCCUUAAGCUGACUUGGUGAAGCCAGUGGGAAGAUCAUGAUAAGCUGGUUCAUCUGACCUGCUCCUCUAAAUCAAUUAAAUCUUCUAAAAUUAUUAGGUCCUUAAAAUAAAAUAGUUAUAGUGAUA
rnacentral:lncRNA from 1 species